CUUUUGAUGGCAUCCAGCUUCUGGGGGGUGGACUUCCCGCCCCCCCAAACAUACACCUCACUAGUGCGUGAGGUCACCACUGCAAUGGGAGCCUCAUUCACGGUACUCGACCUUGGUCGCUUAUUUGGCCCAUUGAGCAGCGUGACUUUCUCUUCCAUCUCUCUCCUCCGUUUGCUGAGAAGGGGCUGUUCGAGCAGCUCAUCUGCAGUGGGUCUCUUCUCUGGAUCCUGAUCUAGGCAGGAAUUCACCAUCUGGAUCAGCUCCCAAGAAUAGACAGAGGAAUCAACUUCCAUGGCGCGAUUUCCC
rnacentral:lncRNA from 1 species